rnacentral:rRNA from 1 species
GUACACGCUGUGACUAGCAUAUCAAUAAGCGGAGGAAAAGAAACUAACAAGGAUUCCCCUAGUAACGGCGAGUGAAGCGGGAAGAGCUCAAAUUUGAAAUCUUAAAGGGUUUCCCUUUACGAAUUGUAGUUUAAAGAAGUGUUUUCUGUUGAGGUUUUGGUAAAAGUUCUUUGGAAUAGGACAUCAUAGAGGGUGAGAAUCCCGUAUUUGACCUUUACUUUCAACUUUGUGAUACACUUUCAAAGAGUCGGAUUGUUUGGGAAUGCAGUCCAAAAUGGGUGGUAAAUUUCAUCUAAAGCUAAAUAGUUGGCGAGAGACCGAUAGCGAACAAGUACCGUGAGGGAAAGAUGAAAAGAACUUUGAAAAGAGAGUUAAACAGUACGUGAAAUUGUCAAAAGGGAAGCGUUUGACACCAGUGUUGUUUUUCUGAAAAUCAAUUAAAGAACUGUUUAUGCUAAGCUGUUUAGACUUUAUCAGCUAUCUGUUUAGUUUUGAGCUUUUCUUUAAUGCACUUUUCAGUUAACAAGUCAACAUCAAUUUCUUUUGCUGUAAAAAAGCUUGAGGAAGGUGGCUUGAGAUUCGUCUUAAGUGUUUAUAGCCUCUUGCCUAUGCAGUCGGAGAGAUUGAGGUCUGCAGCGUAGAUCCUUCGGGGCUAAAUGCAUUUGUGCUAAGUUAUAGCAUUUUAUAGACAACUUGUUGACUAUGAUUUGUCUUGUAGCUUACUCGCUUAUGUUAUUUUACCUACGCUUAGGAUGUUGAAGAUGUAGCACAUCAU